rnacentral:rRNA from 1 species
CCGGAGGCUACUGCUAUCGGGGUUCGAUUAAGCCAUGCGAGUUAAAUGUUCUUCGUGAACAUAGCGAACUGCUCAGUAACACGUGGAUAACCUACCCUUAGGACCGGAAUAACCCCGGGAAACUGGGGAUAAUACCGGAUAAACCAUAGACGCUGGAAUGCCCUAUGGUUCAAAGCUCCGGCGCCUAAGGAUGGAUCUGCGGUCUAUCAGGUUGUAGUGGGUGUAACGUACCUACUAGCCGACGACGGAUACGGGUUGUGAGAGCAAGAGCCCGGAGAUGGAUUCUGAGACACGAAUCCAGGCCCUACGGGGUGCAGCAGGCGCGAACACUUUACAAUGCGGGAAACCGCGAUAAGGGAACCCCGAGUGCCAGCAUCAAAUGUUGGCUGUCCGGAUGAUUAAAAAUCAUUUGUUAGCAAGGGCCGGGCAAGACCGGUGCCAGCCGCCGCGGUAACACCGGCGGCCCGAGUGGUAGCCGUUUUUAUUGGGUCUAAAGGGUCCGUAGCCGGCCUGAUCAGUCCUUUGGGAAAUCUGGCAGCUUAACUGUCAGGCUUCUAAGGGAUACUGUCAGGCUUGGGACCGGAAGAGGUAAGGGGUACUCCAGGGGUAGGAGUGAAAUCUUGUAAUCCCUGGGGGACCAUCUGUGGCGAAGGCGCCUUACCAGAACGGGUCCGACGGUGAGGGACGAAAGCUAGGGGAGCAAACCGGAUUAGAUACCCGGGUAGUCCUAGCUGUAAACGAUGCUCGCUAGGUGUCAGACACGGUGCGACCGUGUUUGGUGCCGCAGGGAAGCCGUUAAGCGAGCCACCUGGGAAGUACGGUCGCAAGGCUGAAGCUUAAAGGAAUUGGCGGGGGAGCACUACAACGGGUGGAGCCUGCGGUUUAAUUGGAUUCAACGCCGGAAAACUCACCGGGUGCGACAGCAAUAUGUAGGUCAGGCUGAAGGUCUUACCUGAAUCGCUGAGAGGAGGUGCAUGGCCGUCGUCAGUUCGUACUGUGAAGCAUCCUGUUAAGUCAGGCAACGAGCGAGACCCGCGCCCACAGUUGCCAGCAUGUUCUCUGGAACGAUGGGUACACUGUGGGGACCGCCGCUGCU